rnacentral:rRNA from 1 species
AGGUGGGAUUAGCUAGUUGGUGAGGUAAUAGCUCACCAAGGCGACGAUCCCUAGCUGUUCUGAGAGGAUGAUCAGCCACACUGGGACUGAGACACGGCCCAGACUCCUACGGGAGGCAGCAGUGGGGAAUAUUGCACAAUGGGGGAAACCCUGAUGCAGCCAUGCCGCGUGUGUGAAGAAGGCCUUCGGGUUGUAAAGCACUUUCAGUAGGGAGGAAAGGGUGUAGCUUAAUACGCUAUAUCUGUGACGUUACCUACAGAAGAAGGACCGGCUAACUCCGUGCCAGCAGCCGCGGUAAUACGGAGGGUCCGAGCGUUAAUCGGAAUUACUGGGCGCAAAGCGUGCGCAGGCGGUUUGUUAAGCGAGAUGUGAAAGCCCUGGGCUCAACCUAGGAAUAGCAUUUCGAACUGGCGAACUAGAGUCUUGUAGAGGGGGGUAGAAUUCCAGGUGUAGCGGUGAAAUGCGUAGAGAUCUGGAGGAAUACCGGUGGCGAAGGCGGCCCCCUGGACAAAGACUGACGAUCAGAUGCGAAAGCGGGGGGAGCAAACAGGAUUAGAUACCCUGGUAGUCCACGCCGUAAACGAUGUCUACUCGGAGUUUGGUGUCUUGAACCACUGGGCUCUCAAGCUAACGCAUUAA